GUGAGGAAUAUUGGUCAAUGGGCGAGAGCCUGAACCAGUCAAGUCGCGUGAAGGAAGAAGGAUCUAUGGUUCGUAAACUUCUUUUGCAGGGGAAUAAAGUGCAGGACGUGUCCUGUUUUGUAUGUACCCUGAGAAUAAGGAUCGGCUAACUCCGUGCCAGCAGCCGCGGUAAUACGGAGGAUCCGAGCGUUAUCCGGAUUUAUUGGGUUUAAAGGGUGCGUAGGUGGUUUGAUAAGUCAGCGGUGAAAGUUUGCAGCUUAACUGUAAAAAUGCCGUUGAAACUGUCGGACUUGAGUGUAAAUGAGGUAGGCGGAAUGCGUGGUGUAGCGGUGAAAUGCAUAGAUAUCACGCAGAACUCCGAUUGCGAAGGCAGCUUACUAAGCUACAACUGACACUGAAGCACGAAAGCGUGGGGAUCAAACAGGAUUAGAAACCCCUGUAGUCC
rnacentral:rRNA from 1 species